rnacentral:misc_RNA from 1 species
AAGUCGUAACAAGGUUUCCGUAGGUGAACCUGCGGAAGGAUCAUUAAUGAAUUUGAAAGGGGUUGUAGCUGGUCUUUUCCGAGACAUGUGCACGCCCUGCUCAUCCAUUCUACCCCUGUGCACACUCUGUAGGUCGGUUUUGAAGUGAUUCCUCACGGGAUUGCUCGGGCCUUCCUAUGUUUUCAUACAAACACCUUAAAGUUAAAGAAUGUAAUCGCGUGUAACGCAUUUAAUACAACUUUCAGCAACGGAUCUCUUGGCUCUC